rnacentral:lncRNA from 1 species
UUUCCGUUAUUUCCGUUGUUGUUCUUGACCUGUCACCUAAUUUUCUGCCGUAUGUUUCUGUCUCUCUGGAGGUUAUUUCCGUUAUUUUUUUUAUUUCCGUUUUUUCCAUUAUUUCAAUUAUUUCCGUUGUUGUUCUAGACCUGUCAUUUAAUUUUCUGCCGUCUUUUUCUGUCACUGUGGAGGUUAUUUCUGUUAUUUCCUUUAUUAUUUCCGUUAUUUUUGUUAUUUCGGUUAUUUCCGUUAUUUCUGUUGUUGUUCUUGACCUGUCACUUAAUAUUCUGCCGUAUGUUUCUGUCUCUCUGGAGGUUAUUUCCGUUCUUUUAGUUUUUUCCGUUUUUUCCGUUUUUUCCGUUCUUUCCUUUCUUUCCGUUGUUAUUUUUGACCUGUCACGUAAUUUUGUG